rnacentral:rRNA from 1 species
GACGAACGCUGGCGGCGUGCUUAAUACAUGCAAGUCGAGCGAGGUUACUGCGACAGAUCCCUUCGGGGUGAAGUUGCUUUAGCCUAGCGGCGGACGGGUGAGUAACGCGUGGGUAACCUACCCUAAAGUUCGGGAUAACAGCGGGAAACCGCUGCUAAUACCGGAUGCCUUUACCAUGUGGCAUCACAAGGUAAAGAAAGGUAACGCUUUAGGAUGGGCCCGCGUCCCAUUAGCUAGUUGGUGAGGUAACAGCUCACCAAGGCGACGAUGGGUAGCCGGCCUGAGAGGGUGGACGGCCACACUGGGACUGAGACACGGCCCAGACUCCUACGGGAGGCAGCAGUAGGGAAUAUUGCGCAAUGGACGGAAGUCUGACGCAGCGACGCCGCGUGAGCGAUGAAGGCCUUCGGGUCGUAAAGCUCUGUCCUUGGGGAAGAAGGUCUUCGGACUUGACGGUACCCAAGAAGAAAGCCCCGGCUAACUACGUGCCAGCAGCCGCGGUAAUACGUAGGGGGCGAGCGUUGUCCGGAAUUACUGGGCGUAAAGGGUGCGUAGGCGGCCCUUUAAGUCAGAUGUGAAAGCCCGCAGCUUAACUGCGGAAUUGCAUUUGAAACUGGAGGGCUUGAGUGUCGGAGAGGGUAGUGGAAUUCCCAGUGUAGCGGUGAAAUGCGUAGAUAUUGGGGAGGAACACCAGUGGCGAAGGCGACUGCCUGGACGAUAACUGACGCUGAGGCACGAAAGCUAGGGGAGCAAACAGG